rnacentral:rRNA from 1 species
CGGGUGAGUAAUGCGUGACCAACCUGCCCCAUGCUCCAGAAUAGCUCUUGGAAACGGGUGGUAAUGCUGGAUGCUCCAACUUGACGCAUGUCNUUGUUGGGAAAGUGUUUAGUGGCAUGGGAUGGGGUCGCGUCCUAUCAGCUUGUAGGCGGGGUAAUGGCCCACCUAGGCUUCGACGGGUAGCCGGCCUGAGAGGGCGGACGGCCACAUUGGGACUGAGAUACGGCCCAGACUCCUACGGGAGGCAGCAGCC